UACGGGGGGGGCAAGCGUUGUUCGGAAUUACUGGGCGUAAAGGGUUUGUAGGUGGCUUGCUAAGUCAGACGUGAAAUCCCUCAGCUUAACUGGGGAACUGCGUCUGAGACUGGCAAGCUCGAGUGCAGGAGAGGAACGCGGAAUUCCAGGUGUAGCGGUGAAAUGCGUAGAUAUCUGGAGGAACACCGGUGGCGAAGGCGGCGUGCUGGACUGCAACUGACACUGAAAAACGAAAGCCAGGGGAGCAAACGGG
rnacentral:rRNA from 1 species